rnacentral:rRNA from 1 species
GAUGAACGCUGGCGGCGUGCUUAACACAUGCAAGUCGAGCGAAGCGAAUCUUCGGAAGUUUUCGGAUGGAAGAGGAUUUGACUUAGCGGCGGACGGGUGAGUAACGCGUGGGUAACCUGCCUUACACUGGGGGAUAACAGUUAGAAAUGACUGCUAAUACCGCAUAAGCGCACAGGGCCGCAUGGCCUGGUGUGAAAAACUCCGGUGGUGUAAGAUGGACCCGCGUCUGAUUAGGUAGUUGGCGGGGUAACGGCCCACCAAGCCGACGAUCAGUAGCCGACCUGAGAGGGUGACCGGCCACAUUGGGACUGAGACACGGGCCCAAACUCCUACGGGAGGCAGCAGUGGGGAAUAUUGGGACAAUGGGCGAAAGCCUGAUCCAGCGACGCCGCGUGAGUGAAGAAGUAUUUCGGUAUGUAAAGCUCUAUCAGCAGGGAA